rnacentral:lncRNA from 1 species
UGGGUGGAGGCCAAGGGUUAUGUGAAGGUUGGAGGGAAGGAGGGAUCAAUACCAGGGGUGCUGAUGGGAUGGAGGGGUGGAUGCUGGGGUUGUUGGGUUUGGUGGAGGCUGGGGUAAGACUGUGGAGGAGUAGGGGUGGACGCUAAGGGUGUUUGGUGGGGUGGAGGAUGGGGAGGGUUUGAGGGAGUAGGGGUAGAUGGUGAGUUCAGCUACAUGCUACUGUAGGUUACUCCCCCAUAUGGCUGAGUUCUGUUCAGCUACUUUAGGUUACUCUCCCAUACGGCUAAGUUCUGUUCAGCUGCUUUAGGUUACUCUCCCAUAUGGCUGAGUUGACUGUUCAGCUACUGUAGGUUAUUCUCCCAUAUGGCUGAGUUGACUUUUCAGCUACAUGCUACUGUAGGUUAUUCUCCCAUGCUACUGUAGGUUACUCUCCCAUGCUACUGUAGGUUACUCUCUCAUGCUACUGUAGGUUACUCUCCCAUGCUACUGUAGGUUACUCUCCCAUGCUACAGUAGGUUACUCUCCCAUAUGACUGUAGGUUACUCUCCCAUGCUACUGUAGGUUACUCUCCCAAGCUACUGUAGGUUACUCUCCCAUGCUACUGUAGGUUACUCUCCCAUGCUACUGUAGGUUACUCUCCCAUGCUACUGUAGGUUACUCUCCCAAGCUACUGUGGGUUACUCUCCCAAGCUACUGUAGGUUACUCUCCCAUGCUACUGUAGGUUACUCCCCCAUAUGGCUGAGUUCUGUUCAGCUACUUUAGGUUACUCUCCCAUACGGCUAAGUUCUGUUCAGCUGCUUUAGGUUACUCUCCCAUAUGGCUGAGUUGACUGUUCAGCUACUGUAGGUUAUUCUCCCAUAUGGCUGAGUUGACUGUUCAGCUACUGUAGGUUAUUCUCCCAUAUGGCUGAGUUGACUGGUCAGCUACUGUAGGUUAUUCUCCAUAUGGCUGAGUUGACUGUUCAGCUACUGUAGGUUAUUCUCCAUAUGGCUGAGUUGACUUUUCAGCUACAUGCUACUGUAGGUUAUUCUCCCAUGCUACUGUAGGUUACUCUCCCAUGCUACUGUAGGUUACUCUCAUGCUACAGUAGGUUACUCUCCCAUGCUACAGUAGGUUACUCUCCCAUGCUACAGUAGGUUACUCUCUCCCAUGCUACUGUAGGUUACUCUCCCAUGCUACUGUAGGUUACUCUCUCAUGCUACUGUAGGUUACUCUCCCAUGCUACUGUAGGUUACUCUCCCAUGCUACUGUAGGUUACUCUCCCAUGCUACUGUAGGUUACUCUCCCAUGCUACUGUAGGUUACUCUCCCAAGCUACUGUAGGUUACUCUCCCAUGCUACUGUAGGUUACUCUCCCAUGCUACUGUAGGUUACUCUCCCAUGCUACUGUAGGAUAAUAUCUGGAUUGUUUCAUAAUAACUCUUGUCUGGUGUGGGAUGUGCAGUUCCGGAGUGCAGAGAAUAACUUGUACUGAUGUGGAUUGGAGCAAACAAACCAUCUACAUAGUGGUGAUGUGUACGUUUUAGAUUAUAUUAUUACUAUUAUUUUAUUAAG